AUUGAACGCUGGCGGCAGGCCUAACACAUGCAAGUCGAACGAGUGGCGGACGGGUGAGUAAUGUCUGGGAAACUGCCUUAUGGAGGGGGAUAACUACUGGACACGGUAGCUAAUACCGCAUACCCUCGUAUGUGCCCAUAUGGGAUGAGCUAGUAGGUGGGGGAAAGGCUCACCUAGGCGACGAUCCCUAGCUGGUCUGAGAGGAUGACCAGCCACACUGGGACUGAGACACGGUCCAGACGCCGACGGGAGGCAGCAGUGGGGAAUAUUGCACAAUGGGCGCAAGCCUGAUGCAGUCAUGCCGCGUGUAUGAAGAAGGCCUUCGGGUUGUAAAGUACUUUCAGCGGGGAGGCGUUACCCGCAGAAGAAGCACCGGCUAACUCCGUGCCAGCAGCCGCGGUAAUUC
rnacentral:rRNA from 1 species